AUUGAACGCUGGCGGCAGGCCUAACACAUGCAAGUCGAGCGGAUGAAGGGAGCUUGCUCCUGGAUUCAGCGGCGGACGGGUGAGUAAUGCCUAGGAAUCUGCCUGGUAGUGGGGGAUAACGUCCGGAAACGGGCGCUAAUACCGCAUACGUCCUGAGGGAGGAAGUGGGGGAUCUUCGGACCUCACGCUAUCAGAUGAGCCUAGGUCGGAUUAGCUAGUUGGUGGGGUAAAGGCCUACCAAGGCGACGAUCCGUAACUGGUCUGAGAGGAUGAUCAGUCACACUGGAACUGAGACACGGUCCAGACUCCUACGGGAGGCAGCAGUGGGGAAUAUUGGACAAUGGGCGAAAGCCUGAUCCAGCCAUGCCGCGUGUGUGAAGAAGGUCUUCGGAUUGUAAAGCACUUUAAGUUGGGAGGAAGGGCAGUAAGUUAAUACCUUGCUGUUUUGACGUUACCAACAGAAUAAGCACCGGCUAACUUCGU
rnacentral:rRNA from 1 species